rnacentral:rRNA from 1 species
GGGUCAGUAGGUUGGUCGUGCCACCGGUACGUACUGGUCUCACUGAUUCCUCCUUCCUGAAGAACCGUAAUGCCAUUAAUUUGGUGUUGCGGGGAAACAGGACUGUUACUUUGAAAAAAUUAGAGUGUUUAAAGCAAGCUAACGCUUGAAUACAUUAGCAUGGAAUAAUGAAAUAGAACGAUCGAUCCUAUUUUGUUGGUUUCUAGGAUUGACGUA